UGCCUUCUCUCACCUUGGACUUUCCAUAAACAGAUUACACAUUCCUUUCUAUAUGAUGUUGCAGAUUAAAAACCCUAGAUCUAAUUCUAUAAUUUACCUUGCCGAUUCUUCUUUCAUUCGAUUCGUCGGCUUUUGGUUCAUCUAUUAGCGAUUCAUCUUAAAGUCGGUUGUUGUUAUUGUUACAUCGAAGAAGAAGAAGAAGAGAACAAUAUAGUUGUUGUUGAUUACAAUUCAUAUAUCACAUCAUUGUUUCUGUUGUUGUUGGCAAUUGAUGAAGCCGAAGAUUUAUGGAGCCAAAAGCAAUUUUAGUUGCAUAAUUUGAAAGAAAUUGCAGGUUGUGAUUCACGAAGAUAAAAAUUCACGUAUUUCAGAUCUAAAAUGGAAUUGCAGAUCUGUUAAGGUUCUAUAAUAGUUUCUGAUUUGGGGUUGCAGUGAAUCAGAUCUAAAUCACAAGUUUUUGUAGUGUUAAUCGUAGAAAGAAGGAGAAGGUUCAGAUUUGUUAUUGUUUUUGUGUUGUUCUUCGAGCAGAGAAUUAUUCAUGAUCUCAGUUGCUUUUGCUUUGUAACACACGAAGCCUACCGUCGCGCCACAAGUGUGUUACCAUCUUUGAAGUUAUCAGCCUCGGUAUUCACUGUCAGGGUUUCUGGAUCUCAUCCCAAAUCCCACCCCCAUAUGCUCUCUCCCCCUUUCUCUUUGCCGAUUCAAGAAGAUGAAGGCGAUGGCGAUUUUCCGAUUCAAGAAGAUGAAGGCGAUGGCGAUGGCGAUUCAAGUCGAUUGGAUGAUGUGGUAUUGGCUACAUUGAUUUGUUGAUAUUAUUGUUUAUUUUUGUUCGUAUUACAUUCUUUUUGACCAAUCAGUUCAAAUUAGGGUUUUAAUUUGUUAAGUUUUGUUACAUCUAUUGAGAUUAUCAAAAGAAAGAAGUGUGGGUUGUGUCAAUUACAUGUGUGUUCAUGGUAAGCAUAUCCACUAUCUCAACGUGAUUGAUUUAUGUUUUCUUUCCGAUUAACAAGUGAGUUUGUGUUCAUAGGGUUUAUGGUCCGGAUUCAAGUACGAAGAGAUGAUUUUGUGUUAAGAGCAAAGAUGAAUAUUUUCAAGGAUUGAUUUUUUGUUCAUAUAACCCUACAACUCAACUCUUCAGAUCUUGGAUUCGUCUCAACCAACCUUUUAUAUUCAGUGACGAUUCAUUGUUUUUUAAAUAUAUUUCUAAAGUUUCUUUCUUGGAAGACAAAGACGAGCAAGAGCGUUCCUGGAUUAGGCCAUUGACUUAUGAAGUCAAGAAAUGAAUGGUUGUUGGCUCAUGGCACUCGAGACUGGUGCGCAAGAUUGGAUGCCACUCGAGGACCCACAUGAUUUUAGAUUUUCUAGGCGGAUUGAUGGAGCCUAUCUCGAAUAGGGAAAAUCGUUAAGCGAAUGGGAUGUAUUUAGUCACUCUAGAGGUCUCUAGACUUAUUUGUCACUUUAUCAAGUUCAACACUUUAAAUUCGUUGACGAUUCACUCUUGAUUUAGCACAUUGUUUGUUGAAUUUCAAUCCGAUCUCAGGUGAACAAUCUCGAUUUCAGUUGUAUAUUUCAAUCAUUGUUAACUACGUUUGAUACGUUACGUACCCGCGGGUAGAGGGAUGGAUUUCGUUACUUGAACGUUUAUUUCUUUUAAAGGAUUAUUUUAACAUUU
rnacentral:lncRNA from 1 species